rnacentral:rRNA from 1 species
AACGAACGCUGGCGGCGUGCCUAACACAUGCAAGUCGAGCGGAGAUGUUGAAGGUUUACUGGAUACAUCUUAGCGGCGGACGGGUGAGUAACGCGUGGGUAACCUGCCUUGUACAGGGGGAUAACACAGGGAAACUUGUGCUAAUACCGCAUAAUACGAUUGAAUGGCAUCAUUCGAUCGUCAAAGGAGUCAAAUCCCGGUAUGAGAUGGACCCGCGUCCGAUUAGCUAGUUGGAGGUGUAACGGACCACCAAGGCGACGAUCGGUAGCCGAACUGAGAGGUUGAUCGGCCACAUUGGGACUGAGACACGGCCCAGACUCCUACGGGAGGCUG